rnacentral:rRNA from 1 species
ACCUGGGCUCAAAUGUAUGUUGACGUAUUCUGAAAGGGAUACUUCUUCGGACAAUAUACAAGGUGCUGCAUGGUUGUCGUCAGCUCGUGCCGUGAGGUGUCGGGUUAAGUCCCAUAACGAGCGCAACCCCUAUCAUUAGUUGCCAUCAGGUCAAGCUGGGGACUCUAAUGAAACUGCCUACGCAAGUAGUGAGGAAGUGGGGAUGACGUCAAAUCAGCACGGCCCUUACGUCCAGGGCUACACACGUGCUACAAUGGCCGGUACAAAGGGCAGCUACCUGGUGACAGGAUGCUAAUCUCAAAAGCCGGUCUCAGUUCGGAUCGGAGUCUGCAACCCGACUCCGUGAAGCUGGAAUCGCUAGUAAUCGUGAAUCAGAAUGUCACGGUGAAUACGUUCCCGGGCCUU